AGCGAACGCUGGCGGCAGGCCUAAUACAUGCAAGUCGAGCGGGUCCUUCGGGAUUAGCGGCGGACGGGUGAGUAACGCGUGGGAACGAGCCCUUUGGUACGGAACAACUGAGGGAAACUUCAGCUAAUACCGUAUGUGCCCUUCGGGGAAAGAUUUAUCGCCAUUGGAGCGGCCCGCGUUGGAUUAGGUAGUUGGUGAGGUAAAGGCUCACCAAGCCUACGAUCCAUAGCUGGUCUGAGAGGAUGACCAGCCACACUGGGACUGAGACACGGCCCAGACUCCUACGGAGGCAGCAGUAGGGAAGUCUUACGCAAUGGGCGAAAGCCUGACGCAGCCAUGCCGCGUGAAUGAUGAAGGUCUUAGGAUUGUAAAAUUCUUUCACCGGGGACGAUAAUGACGGUACCCGGAGAAGAAGCCCCGGCUAACUUCGUGCCAGCAGCCGCGGUAAU
rnacentral:rRNA from 1 species